CAAAUUAAUUCUCUAUUCCUAUGAAUAGAUAUUAAUUGCUUUUGCAUUCAUUUCCGCUCGAUAACACAAUCCAGUAUGCCUGAAAAUUCAGACAAUGUGAGACAAGCUGGAUACACGGCUUGGGGUACAGUUAUCGCACAAAAUAUUACCCACGUUUUUCAGACCGAAGCUACACCCGAUGGGGUUUGGGGCGCAUUUCAUAAAUUAUAACUACCAUUUCAAGAAAUUUAAAGAUAAUAUCUUGAGAAAUUAUGGGGGAAAUGAUAUAAAAAAUUAUAUUAACGCCUAAAUUUUUAUUUAUUAUAAUUAUAGCUUAUUUAAAAU